rnacentral:rRNA from 1 species
GAAUUGAUGCAUCGGUCGUGCCUCGGUACGUACUGGUAUUGUUGGUUUCUCCCUUCUGACGAACCAUGAUGUCAUUUAUUUGGUGUUGUGGGGAAUCAGGACUGUUACUUUGAAAAAAUUAGAGUGUUUAAAGCAGGCUCACGCUUGAAUACAUUAGCAUGGAAUAAUGAAAUAGGACGUUUGAUUCUAUUUUGUUGGUUUCUAGGAUCGACGUA